rnacentral:misc_RNA from 1 species
AGACGGGUUUUUAGCAUGGGUCCACUUGCCUGAAUUGAAUAGGGAUGGCUUUCCAGACUCCAGGUCCUGGUACAGGGCAAGAGAACAGAAACAGGAAAAUAUUAGAACAUUUAGAGGAACAGAAAAGACGUCUCCGAGGGGGACAAGGUGCCUCAGUCAGUAACCCCAUCCCAAACAGUUCGCCCACAGUUCCGCCUUCUCCUGUGACAGUGCCAGGAAAUAUCAGCCUUGUAAUGGAGACCCAACACAUGACACCUGCCCAGCGGACAGCUUUACAGGUGAGACUGGUCUCAGGUGUUAUAAUCACUGUCAGUCAUAACAUGCUGCAAAAACAGCACAGCACAUAGUCUACCACUUUUACAUCUUACGGGAGAGGGCAUGACAAAAUUAAGCAUCAUAUUAUAAGCAUGCCAAUGCCAACUCUGUGGGCUACUUCAUUACACAAGACUCAUCAUUUGGAAAUCUAAUACUUCCUGUUUUACCCAGAUUUAAUGAAAAAUAACAUUUUGUUCAUCCUCAUUUCAUUGUAUAUACCAUUGACUCAUUUUUUCAUUAAAAUAACUUUUGU